GACGAACGCUGGCGGCGUGCUUAACACAUGCAAGUCGAACGGGCCUUGUCCCCUUUUUUUUUGGGGGGGGGGUUAGUGGCGAACGGGUGGGUAACACGUGAGUAACCUGCCCCUCACUUCUGGAUAACCGCUUGAAAGGGUGGCUCAUCCGGGGUGUUCUGGCCUGCUCGCAUGGGUUGGUUUGGAAAGCUUCGACCGGUUUGGGUUGUUUUGGUGGGGGUUGGGCUCGCGGCCUAUCAGCUUGUUGGUGGGGUGAUGGCCUGCCAAGGCUUUGACGGGUAGCCGGCCUGAGAGGGGGGGCGGUCACACUGGGACUGAGACACGGCCCAGACUCCUACGGGAGGCAGCAGUGGGGAAUAUUGCACAAUGGGCGCAAGCCUGAUGCAGCGACGCCGCGUGAGGGAUGGAGGCCUUCGGGUUGUGAACCUCUGUCGCCAGUGAAGAAGGUCCUGCUCUGUGUGGUGGGGUUGACGGUAGCUGGGUUAAUGAAGCGCCGGCGAACUACGUG
rnacentral:rRNA from 1 species